rnacentral:other from 1 species
UACCCUGCGCUGUUCGUAAGCUGCUCCUUAGGUUUUGAGCCAACACUCUUACCUAGGGAACCUGAUAGUCACGCUUAACAAAAACAUGCCUCCCUUCUUCGGAUUGCCAGUGGACUUUUGCGUUAAGCGGCAAGGUACCCACCUGCACAUGCAGGUUCAAAACACGGAGCUUUUACGGCACUGCGGGGUU